AAUGUACAUCUUCAACUAUUUCAGUCCUGAUUUCUCUGUUGGAAAAACGUAGAAGACGAAGAUCAGAUUACUGUGCUCGACGCAACUCGUUACAUCUCUCUGAUAUAACUCUGCUGUGCUAUGGCAAUCUAAAACAUGGGUCCUGGAUUCGAAAGGUCAGUUCUCAAUACCAUACCCACAUUCAUUUUUCUGAAAAUUUGUUCUAAUUUGGUUCUAGUUCCACGAAUUAAACAUACCAAGUGAAUCAAUCGAUCUGUUUUUCCUAACUUCCAGGAUCUGGAUGAAACCACUCUGUAGUUACGAUUUCCCACCCUUUCCAGCGACCUGUUUGGUGAAUUUUGUUUCUCUUUAUGCCGUGCUAAAUAAUUAAAAUAACUAAAGGAUUGCUUGCUUUGUAGUUUAAACGAAGUAUUUCCUUUCUUUCUGAUGGGAUUAAAAUGAUUUUCUUUUCCCUGUUGCUUGAAAAUAGUAGAAAAAUGCCAAUUAAAAGAUAGCUCACGACAUUUUAUCCAAUUAGAAAUUGAAUACAAUUACAGUAGACAUCACACAAGCUUAAGAAGAGCAGAAUCACACGUGCAUGAUUCGUUCUUGUCGCGCUCAUUAUUAUUAUUAUUAUUAU
rnacentral:misc_RNA from 1 species